ensembl:lncRNA
CGCAAACUCCUACUAAGAUAAGUUGAUUGUCUAUACGUCUGCUAUAUGUUUCGUUUAAUAUGAUAAAUUACCUGCAUAGUUUAAAUAUUAGGGCGAAGAUUAAAUCCCCACCAGUGAUUCACCAUUGGUCAGCAUCAAUUAUAAAGGGAAACUCCUGAAAUUAACAUAACCUUGCUAGCGAACGGAUAAUGUUCAAUAUAAACUAACACAAUGCAGCAUUAAUAAUAUAAUAAUGUGUGAGUCAUUUAAUUGUGUGAGUUCAUCUAGACGUUUUCAUUUCCUCUGUCACUGUGGAUCACUUUUAAAGUGAACUGUUUUGGAUUUUACUUUAAGUUAAAGCUAUACUGUACGAUGUGAGAGAGCUAGCAUGAUUUGAAAUUAGCUUCUCUUCGGAGUUCCGUUUAACUCCUCCCCCACCCUUCACGACUGCCCCAACCCCUCGACACAGAGCCGUGCACGAGCGCUAAUGCUGCUUACGGCUUACUUCAACGGCAACCAUUGCGUCACUUUUCAGGCCAUUCAACUCCCUCAGCUGUCGCCAUCGCUGAAAAGCGAAUCCAAUAUUUAUUCUCGUUUUUCCUCGAGCAUUCUCUUACUUUUUUUUUUUGUUGCUGCCUUUUCAUUUUCUGUCUUUCUUUUUCUUGCCUUUUUAAAAGGAUGAACCGGGGCAAGUAACGGUGGCAGUGGUAACUUCUGUUGUUUCUCUUCCAUUGUGUUAACGUUGUAGGCUCACUAGGUCUAGUCCACUGUCAUGAACUACUAUGACAACAACGCUUUCUUUGCCCUCCGUGAACGCGCUCAGGCCGGCUCAGGCUCGUACACAGAGGGGAGAGAACGCGCAGGCUUGUGAUUGGUUCUUUAUAUUCGGGUACAAUGUCUCCGAUUGCUCCUUUAUAGUCAACCCCCACCACACGUUAUCGUCGUCAUUUUGAAUACCCAAAGGCACUUUUAAGAGCCACGUCCAUCUGUCUGCCUUUCUGUCUGGCUGUCUGUCUAUCUAUCUGCCUGUUUGGCUGUCUAACUGUCUGUCUGUCUGUCU